rnacentral:rRNA from 1 species
GUGGGGAAUAUUGGACAAUGGGCGAAAGCCUGACGCAGCCAUGCCGCGUGAAUGAUGAAGGUCUUAGGAUUGUAAAAUUCUUUCACCGGGGACGAUAAUGACGGUACCCGGAGAAGAGGCUCCGGCUAACUUCGUGCCAGCAGCCGCGGUAAUACGAAGGGGGCUAGCGUUGCUCGGAAUUACUGGGCGUAAAGGGCGCGUAGGCGGACAGCUUAGUCAGAGGUGAAAGCCCAGGGCUCAACCUUGGAAUUGCCUUUGAUACUGGCUGUCUUGAGUACGGGAGAGGUGAGUGGAACUCCGAGUGUAGAGGUGAAAUUCGUAGAUAUUCGGAAGAACACCAGUGGCGAAGGCGACUCACUGGCCCGUUACUGACGCUGAGGCGCGAAAGCGUGGGGAGCAAACAGGAUUAGAAACCCGAGUAGUCC